CCACGAGGUGAGGAAUACCGGCGAGAAAUCGCCGACAACACCGCAUACGCUGCGUGCAAGCGCAGCAAAGUUUUGAGGUAACUCAAGACGCCUCGUGAUGAGCUCGCGCCCGAUUAGCUGGUUGGUGAGGUAAUGGCUCACCAAGGCGACCAUCGGUAGCUGGUCUGAGAGGAUGAUCAGCCACACUGGGAUUGAGAACGGCCCAG
rnacentral:rRNA from 1 species